rnacentral:tRNA from 1 species
GAGGGUAUAGCCCAGUGGUAGGGUGUGUGCUUAGAAUACACAAGCUCCUGGGUCCAAUCCCCAGUACCUCCG